UACGUAGGGGGCAAGCGUUGUCCGGAUUUAUUGGGCGUAAAGAGCGUGUAGGCGGCCAGGUAGGUCUGCUGUGAAAAACUCGAGGCUUAACCUCGAGAUGUCGGCAGAAACCAUCUGGCUAGAGUCCGGAAGAGAGAGCGGAAUUCCCGGUGUAGAGGUGAAAAUUCGUAGAUAUCGGGAGGAACACCAGUGGCGAAGGCGGCGACCUGGACAGAUAUUGACGCUGAGGUGCGAAAGCGUGGGGAGCAAACAGG
rnacentral:rRNA from 1 species